GAUGAACGCUGGCGGCGUGCCUAAUACAUGCAAGUCGAGCGAACAGACGAGGAGCUUGCUCCUCUGACGUUAGCGGCGGACGGGUGAGUAACACGUGGAUAACCUACCUAUAAGACUGGGAUAACUUCGGGAAACCGGAGCUAAUACCGGAUAAUAUAUUGAACCGCAUGGUUCAAUAGUGAAAGACGGUUUUGCUGUCACUUAUAGAUGGAUCCGCGCCGCAUUAGCUAGUUGGUAAGGUAACGGCUUACCGAGGCAACGAUGCGUAGCCGACCUGAGAGGGUGAUCGGCCACACUGGAACUGAGACACGGUCCAGACUCCUACGGGAGGCAGCAGUAGGGAAUCUUCCGCAAUGGGCGAAAGCCUGACGGAGCAACGCCGCGUGAGUGAUGAAGGUCCUCGGAUCGUAAAACUCUGUUAUUAGGGAAGAACAAAUGUGUAAGUAACUAUGCACGUCUUGACGGUACCUAAUCAGAAAGCCACGGCUAACUACGUG
rnacentral:rRNA from 1 species